UACAGAGGGGGCAAGCGUUGUUCGGAAUUACUGGGCGUAAAGGGCGCGUAGGCGGCCUUCUAAGUCGAACGUGAAAUCCCCGGGCUCAACCCGGGAACUGCGUCCGAUACUGGAAGGCUUGAAUCCGGGAGAGGGAUGCGGAAUUCCAGGUGUAGCGGUGAAAUGCGCAGAUAUCAGGAGGAACACCUAUUGCGAAGGCAGCUCGCUGGGACGUUACUGACGCUGAGACGCGAAAGCGUGGGGAGCAAACAGG
rnacentral:rRNA from 1 species